rnacentral:rRNA from 1 species
CAGCAGCCGCGGUAAUACGAAGGGGGCUAGCGUUGCUCGGAAUUACUAGGCGUAAAGGGAGCGUAGGCGGACAUUUAAGUCAGGGGUGAAAUCCCAGAGCUCAACUCUGGAACUGCCUUUGAUACUGGGUGUCUUGAGUGUGAUAGAGGUAUGUGGAACUCCGAGUGUAGAGGUGAAAUUCGUAGAUAUUCGGAAGAACACCAGUGGCGAAGGCGACAUACUGGAUCAUUACUGACGCUGAGGCUCGAAAGCGUGGGGAGCAAACAGGAUUAGAUACCCGAGUAGUCCCUGUCUCUUAUAC